GCACUCCGGUUUCUCUUCAAAUCGUAUAAAUCUUUCGCCUUUUACUAAAGAUUUCCGUGGAGAGGAACAGUCACGAGUUUCAACUCUCUUUAGAUGGUAUCUGGGAAGUUCCU
rnacentral:snRNA from 1 species